ACCUGGCUGGCUCGGUGGAUAGAGCACGAGACUUUUGAUCUUGCGGUUGUGACUUUGAGACCCAUGUUGGGUG
rnacentral:tRNA from 1 species